rnacentral:rRNA from 1 species
AUACGUAGGUGGCAAGCGUUGUCCGGAUUUAUUGGGCGUAAAGGGAGCGCAGGCGGUGACUUAAGUCUGAUGUGAAAGCCCACGGCUCAACCGUGGAAGGUCAUUGGAAGCUGGGUCACUUGAGUGCAGAAGAGGAAAGUGGAAUUCCAUGUGUAGCGGUGAAAUGCGUAGAUAUAUGGAGGAACACCAGUGGCGAAGGCGACUUUCUGGUCUGUAACUGACGCUGAGGCUCGAAAGCGUGGGGAGCAAACAGGAUUAGAUACCCUGGUAGUCCACGCCGUAAACGAUGAGUGCUAAGUGUUGGAGGGUUUCCACCCUUCAGUGCUGGAGUUAACGCAAUAAGCACUCCGCCUGGGGAGUACGGUCGCAAGACUGAA